ensembl:lncRNA
GUUUGACACCGCGUCUGCAUCACUCACUGUAGAUCACUCCGCCGCGUCUGCAGUGACGGCUGAUCACCGCGGAUCUGUCUCGCUGCUGCCGGGACAACGCGUUCAAGGUCUGCGUGUGAUAAACGAGUGUUAAAAGCUUUCAAAGUUUUUAUACAAACACCCAGAGCACAGCAGACUUAAAUCAACUUGGAACUUUGUUUCCGAACUAAUCCCUGUCAGACGAGAUCAUGUGUUGUGUGACACGUUGACGCAGAAUGAAAACAGCGCUCCGGUCAUGAUUGCUGUUGUUUGUGUUGGCAUACAAAUGACGACAAGAGGAACUACUUAACCAAACGAGUUGACUGACAAGCCUGCGACUGACAACACCUUGAGUCUACACAUACUGCAAGCUGAUUUCCUCUGUGUCUAUUUGAUAUGGACGAUAUAUAAAGAUGGUGCAUUACGUGGUCUGACCAGUAGAGGGAGCGUGACCCUGACCAGUAAACCAGUGGACCGCUUCUUCUCUGGGCCCUAGUGGAACCAGGAAGUCACGGAGAGCGAGUUUCUGUUUACAGCUAUUGGCUUUGAUAACAUUGGCGGCCGACCCUGGCUCCAAACUGUGAAAGGUCACCGUGACAACGGAGGGGGACAGCACCCAGUGGGAGAGGAAUGGUGUGGUGGACUGGUUCUAUGUGUUUAUCUGGUUUUAUAUCGGGAUAUGAAAGCAUCAGAGGAACAAGGAGCAUCUACCCGAGUGGGCUGGAGCAGAAAACGAUCAAAGUCCAGUAGACUGAUCCUUACUUCAUUAUUCGUCCUUUAAAUACCCAUAUAAAGUACUCCUCACAUAAAGUACUACACACAUGAAUAGUUCGCACAUAAAGUACUAUACACUUACAGCACUACACAUAAGGUACUACACAGAAAGUGCUACACGUAAAGUACUUCAAACAGAGUUAUACACACAUAAAGUACUCAUAUAAAGUAAUACACCCAUGAGGUACUAGAUACAUAAAGUACUCCUCAUAUAAAGUACUGCGCACGUAAAGUACUCCUCGCAGAUAGUAGGUCCUACUCGUCACAUAAAGUACUACAGAUAUAAAGAACGACACAGCGUGCUUGAGUAUGUGUGGAUAGGUAUGUGUGUGUGCGUGCGGUGUGACAGAACACUUUAAUUAUGGAUUAAUUGUGUCAUUAGCAGGGUUGUCCUGUUGGCGUCGCGUCAGGGCUGUCAAGGUUAAUUACCGGAACAUGUUUAUUCACCGGCAG